AUGAGCUCAUGCUUUGGUAAUUUACAAAAAACCCAAUUAUUUGUGCUGUGUAAAACAGCUUGUGGCUCUCCUCGCUCGCCUUCUGGCUUUGCCACGCCCUGCUCUGGAGAGACACCCGCCAUUUCACCCAGUAAGCGGCCACGGCCUGCAGAGGAGAGCGGCUGUAGCUCCGCUUUGCCCGGCUCUCCGAGCACGCCACGGCCCCCACCCGGGGCUCCGCACGGGCCGCGGGCUACGGGACCUGUACAGUGCCUAUGAUUACACAAUACCACCUGGGGAGAAAGCUCUUGUGAAAACGGACAUUCAGAUAGCGCUCCCUUCUGGGCGUUAUGGAAGAGUAGCUCCACAGUCGGGCUUGGCUUGCAAAACACUUUAUUGAUGUAGGAGCUGGUGUCAUAGAUGAAGAUUAUAGAGGAAAUGUUGGUGGUGUACUGUUUAACUUUGGCAAAGAAAAGUUUGAAGUCAAAAAGUGUGAUCGAAUUGCACAGCUCAUUUGCGAACGGAUUUUUUAUCCAGAAAUAGAAGAAGUUCAAGCUUUGGAUGACACCGAAAGGGGUUCAGGAGGUUUUGGUUCCACUGGAAAGGAUUAAAAUUUAUGCCAAGAACAGAAAACGAGAAGUCAUGCCUUUUUCUUAAAAAAAAAAAAAAGUUUUUGCUUAAAGUGUUUUGCACUUCUAUAAACUUACUAGCUUCACCUUUGAAAAGUACUGAAUUUUUUACUUUUUUUUUAUGGUCAAGGAAAAGAUCAUAAAAAAAUAAAACACAAAGUUUUUCUUUGUGUUUGGAUCAAAAAGAAACUUUGUUUUUCUGCAAUUGAUGGUUGUAUGUAAAUCUGCUUUGUGGUGACCUGAUGUAAAGUGUCUUCUUACAAUCAAAUGUACAUCAAUUACAGAUUUAAAAAAAAAACCCUGUAUUUAACUCAAAUGAUCCCCCUUCAGCAACUUAUUUUGCUUUGUUUUAAAUCUUAAGCAAUAUUUUGUAUUCAGUAAACUUAUAUUCUUUCACAAGGUACAAAAUCUUGCAUAAGCUGAGCUAAAAGAAAUGAAAAUGAAAAGGAGA